rnacentral:misc_RNA from 1 species
GAAAUGCGAUAAGUAGUGUGAAUUGCAGAAUUCAGUGAAUCAUCGAAUCUUUGAACGCACAUUGCGCCCCUUGGUAUUCCAUGGGGCAUGCCUGUUCGAGCGUCAUUUGUACCCUCAAGCUCUGCUUGGUGUUGGGUGUUUGUCCCCGUCUCCGCGCGUGGACUCGCCCCAAAGUGAUUGGCAGCCGGCGUACUGGUCCCGGAGCGCAGCACAUGUCGCGCAAACGAGUGCCUUGGUACGGCGGCGUCCAUAAGCCCCUCUCUCACGCUCUUGACCUCGGAUCAGGUAGGGAUACCCGCCGAACUUAAGC